CAAUGUAUCUUGUAUGCAGAUGGCUUACAGCUGCUUUUAAUUUCUCCAAUGACUCAGAGUUACCACCCCGUUUCUUCUGCUUACUCAGUAAAGCAACCUUCCUUUGAUAGUCAAAUUUCAUAAUUUCAACUGCUUUGACUUCAUCAUAAAGCUUCUUUUCCCAAGCUAGCAUCUUAUCCAAUACAGUAGCAUGAGUUUCAUGCUCAUCUGUGUCGACAUCAUCCUUACCAUCAUCAAAACUAGGCAUUCCUUUAAAUGACCGAUUCCAUGUAAU
rnacentral:misc_RNA from 1 species